GUCUACUGCCAUGCCACCCUGAACAAGCCUGAUCCUGUCUGAUCUUAGAAGCUAAGCAGGGUCGGGCCUGGUUAGUACUUGGAUGGAGACCACCUAGGAAGACCAAAUGCUGUAGGCA
rnacentral:rRNA from 1 species